GACGAACGCUGGCGGCGUGCUUAACACAUGCAAGUCGAACGGAAAGGCCCUGCUUUUGUGGGGUGCUCGAGUGGCGAACGGGUGAGUAAAACGUGAGUAAACUGCCCUUGAAUUUGGGAUAACUUCAGGAAACUGGGGCUAAUACCGGAUAGGAGCUCCUGCAGCAUGGUGGGGGUUGGAAAGUUUCGGCGGUUGGGGAUGGACUCGCGGCUUAUCAGCUUGUUGGUGGGGUAGUGGCUUACAAAGGCUUUGACGGGUAGCCGGCCUGGGAGGGGGACCGGCCACAAUGGGACUGAGAUACGGCCCAGACUCCAACGGGAGGCAGCAGUGGGGAAUAUUGCGCAAUGGGCGGAAGCCUGAUGCAGCAACGCCGCGUGCGGGAUGACGGCCUUCGGGUUGUAAACCGCUUUCGCCUGUGACGAAGCGUGAGUGACGGUAAUGGGUAAAGAAGCACCGGCUAACUACGUG
rnacentral:rRNA from 1 species